CCUACGGGGAGCAGCAGUGAGGAAUAUUGGUCAAUGGACGCAAGUCUGAACCAGCCAUGCCGCGUGCAGGAAGACGGCUCUAUGAGUUGUAAACUGCUUUUGUACGAGGGUAAACGCAGAUACGCGUAUCUGUCUGAAAGUAUCGUACGAAUAAGGAUCGGCUAACUCCGUGCCAGCAGCCGCGGUAAUACGGAGGAUUCAAGCGUUAUCCGGAUUUAUUGGGUUUAGAGGGUGCGUAGGCGGUCGGAUAAGUUAGAGGUGAAAUCCCGAGGCUCAACUUCGGAAUUGCCUCUGAUACUGGUCGGCGAGAGAGUAGUUGCGGUAGGCGGAAUGUAUGGUGUAGCGGUGAAAUGCUUAGAGAUCAUACAGAACACCGAUUGCGAAGGCAGCUUACCAAGCUACGUCUGACGUUGAGGCACGAAAGCGUGGGGAGCAAACAGGAUUAGAUACCCCAGUAGUC
rnacentral:rRNA from 1 species